CCUACGGGGGGCAGCAGUGAGGAAUAUUGGUCAAUGGGCGCGAGCCUGAACCAGCCAAGUAGCGUGAAGGAUGACUGCCCUACGGGUUGUAAACUUCUUUUAUAAAGGAAUAAAGUGUGGCACGUGUGCCUUUUUGUAUGUACUUUAUGAAUAAGGAUCGGCUAACUUCGUGCCAGCCGCCGCGGUAAUACGGAGGAUCCGAGCGUUAGCUGGAUGUAUUGGGUUUAAAGGGAGCGUAGGUGGGUUGUUAAGUCAGGUGUGAAAGUCUGGGGCUUAACCGUAGAAUGGCAUUUGAUACUGGCAGCCUUGAGUACAGUAGAGGUGGGUGGAAUUCGAGGUGUAGCGGUGAAAUGCUUAGAUA
rnacentral:rRNA from 1 species